CCUACGGGUGGCAGCAGUGAGGAAUAUUGGUAAAUGGACGAGAGUCUGAACCAGCCAAGUAGCGUGAAGGAUGACUGCCCUAUGGGUUGUAAACUUCGUUUAUAUGGGAAUAAAACAGGGGAUGCAGACCCUCUUGUAUGUACCAUAUGAAUAAGGAUCGGCUAACUCAGUGCCAGAAGCCGCGGUAAUACGGAGGAUCAGAGAGUAAACCGGAUAUAUUGGUGUAAAGGGAGCGUAGGUGGGUUGUUAAGUCAGUUGUGAAAGUUGGCGGCUCAACCGUAAAAUUGCAGUUGAAACUGGCAGUCUUGCGUACAGUAGAGGUGGGCGGCAUUCGUGGUGUAGCGGUGAAAUGCUUAGAUAUCACGAAGAACUCCGAUUGCGAAGGCAGCUCACUGGACUGCAACUGACACUGAUGCUCGAAAGUGUGGGUAUCAAACAGGAUUAGAUACCCCUGUAGUC
rnacentral:rRNA from 1 species